UACGAAGGGGGCUAGCGUUGCUCGGAAUCACUGGGCGUAAAGGGUGCGUAGGCGGGUCUUUUAAGUCAGGGGGUGAAAUCCUGGAGCUCAACUCCAGAACUGCCUUUGAUACUGAAGAUCUUGAGUUCGGGAGAGGUGAGUGGAACUGCGAGUGUAGAGGUGAAAUUCGUAGAUAUUCGCAAGAACACCAGUGGCGAAGGCGGCUCACUGGCCCGAUACUGACGCUGAGG
rnacentral:rRNA from 1 species